AACGAACGCUGGCGGCAUGCCUAACACAUGCAAGUUGAACGAGAGCCAAGAAGCUUGCUUUUUGGUGAAAGUGGCGCACGGGUGAGUAACGCGUGGAUAAUGUGCCCUAGGGUUGGGGAUAACCUAUCGAAAGAUGGCCUAAUACCGAAUGUGUCUUAAGAGGGUGUGCCUUUUUAAGAGAAAGCGGGGCAACCCGCGCCCAAGGAUCAGUCCGCGUUCCAUCAGCUAGUUGGUGGGGUAAAGGCCUACCAAGGCUACGACGGAUAGCUGGUCUGAGAGGAUGAUCAGCCACACUGGGACUGAGACACGGCCCAGACUCCUACGGGAGGCAGGCAGUGGGGAGUAUUGGGUCAAUGGGCGAAAGCCUGAACCAGCAAUGCCGCGUGAGUGAUGAAGGCC
rnacentral:rRNA from 1 species